AAUAUUGUACAAUUGGGGCAACCCUUAUCCAUCCAUGCCGCGCGUGUGAAGAAGGUCUUCGGAUUGUAAAGCACUUUAUGUUGGGAGGAAGGGCUUUAGGUUAAUACACUUAAGUUCUGACGUUACCAGCAGAAUAAGCACCGGCUAGCUCUGUGCCACCAGCCGCGGUAAUACAGAGGGUGCAAGCGUUAAUCGGAAUUACUGGGCGUAAAGCGCGCGUAGGUGGUUUGUUAAGUUGGGAGUGAAAGCCCCGGGCUCAAACUGGGAACUGCUUUCAUAACUGCUGAGCUAGAGUACGGUAGAGGGUAGUGGAAUUUCAUGUGUAGCGGUGAAAUGCGUAGAUAUAGGAAGGAACACCAGUGGCGAAGGCGACUACCUGGACUGAUACUGACACUGAGGUGAGAAAGCGUGGGGAGCAAAC
rnacentral:rRNA from 1 species